AAAGAUAAGAUUCUCCAACAAACUCUAUCCAAGAAAAGCACUAUUCAAGAUAAGAUCAAAGACAAAGCUUGGAUUUAUGUGAGAAAUCAAGGAACCAUCCAUUGAAGAUCCAAGGGUGGACAUUGAGUGACCAAGGCUAUAAAUAGAAGGGUAAUCCCCUCAUUUUCACUCACCACACAACAAGCAAACUCAAGAGUUUUUCACUCCACAUUUGAGCUCUCCCACGUUUUUGCCUCCAAGCUUUCAAGCUUCCAAGUGCUCAAGUGUCUUAGCUUUCCAAAGCUUCAAAAGCUCUUCAACUUCUUCUUCUAAUCUUCUUGUUCAUCUAUACAAGUAAGAAGUGUUGUUUGCUUUAAUAUUCCACUCCUCUAAUCACUUUGGUUGAGAGGGUUGUCUCAAUAUCACUAAAGUAUGAGAGAAGGUUUUUGAGCUUAACCAUAAAGCUCUUGUUUGGUUUUAUAGAUUUUCCGGGAAAACUCUUAGGUCAAAUCUACCUUGAAAGAUUUAAAGGUUUUUAAGAGUUCCUUAAUAGUCUAAGGUCCUAACUUACCCGUAAAAGUUAGAGGUUCUUAAGAGUGCCCUUGAUACUCUAAGGUGUGAGUCUACUCGUAAAAGACUGGUUCCUAAGCGAAGUAGCCUUAAAGCUUAGAGAGGUUUUGAAAAGUUCCUUGAUACUCUAAGGUACUAACUUACCCGUAAAAGUUAGAGGUUCUUAAGAGUGCCUUUGAUACUCUAAGGUGUGAGUCUACCCAUAAAAGACUGGUUCCUAAGCGAAGUAGCCUUAAAGCUUAGAGAGGUUCUUAAGAGUUUCCUUGAUACUCUAAGGUUUUGCCAUAACCUUUAGGCUAGUGAAUUCCGAUAGUAGGUCGAGACUGGAUUAGCCCUUGUUUGGGUGAACCAGUAUAAAUCUCUUGUGUUGUUCUUUGUUAACUUUAGUUUUAUAUUUCUUAUAAAAACAACUAAACAACACCAAAUUGAAAAAGAUCCAUCUUCCAGUUAUCUGGUCAAAUAUAGAAGUUGACUAUUUUAAAGCUUCUACUUAUCAAAUAUAUACAUCCAGUUAUCUGGUCAUUUACUUACUUAUCAAUAUAUCCAGCUAUCUGGUCAUUUACUAGCUUAUCAAUAUAUCCAGUUAUCUGGUCAUUUACUUGCUUAUCAAUAUAUCCAGUUAUCUGGUCAUUUACUCUAUAAUACAAUUUAUGUUUACAAUAUAACUUAGUACUCAUAUAGUACAGUUGUUUGUAAAACACUAUCAAGCAAGUUGACUCAGUAUUCAUAUACUGUAGUAAGCUUCGAAAAGUAAUUAUUACGUUAUUAUAUCAUUCAGAGUUAUAAUAUCUCUAUGUCAUUAUUGUUCAACCAUUUGUUUAUUAAGUGCUUACAGGUAAUUCCGCAAUUAACCUGUAUAAAUCGAAAAGAGACUAUUAUCCCCCCUUAUAGCCUCGGAUCACGAUCCAACAGUUUUUGCCAAAAAACUUUUCAAGAAAUUUUUAUGGGCUAUCCAAGAGGUAUUAAAGGAUACCUCAUAUUAAAGGAUAUAUCGGGCUACCCUUUACUUUCUAAUUU
rnacentral:lncRNA from 1 species